rnacentral:RNase_P_RNA from 1 species
GAAGCUGACCAGACAGUCGCCGCUUCGUCGUCGUCCUUUCGGGGAGACGGGCGGAGGGGAGGAAAGUCCGGGCUCCAUAGGGCAGGGUGCCAGGUAACGCCUGGGGGGGAAACCCACGACCAGUGCAACAGAGAGCAGACCGCCGAUGGCCCACGUAAGUGGGAUCAGGUAAGGGUGAAAGGGUGCGGUAAGAGCGCACCGCGCGGCUGGUAACAGUCCGUGGCACGGUAAACUCCACCCGGAGCAAGGCCAAAUAGGGGUUCAUAAGGUACGGCCCGUACUGAACCUGGGUAGGCUGCUUGAGCCAGUGAGCGAUUGCUGGCCUAGAUGAAUGACUGUCCACGACAGAACCCGGCUUAUCGGUCAGUUUCACCU